rnacentral:lncRNA from 10 species
UCUUUGAAAUCUGGUGUCUGGUGAAUGUGAAGAAUGUGAAGAACACGAAGGCAGGGCAGAGACACUGUGCUAAAAAAAAAAAAAAAAAAAACCAAUGUGAUGAGUUUCAAAAGGUGAAGAGUUGGGAAAUGUAUAUCAGAGGAGGUCAAAGAAACUCCUAAAGUCUCUACUCAAUAAAUGUAAAGAGAAACAAAGACAUUUCAAGGACUGGGAUUGUCAAAGGACUUCUAAUACUGGAUGAUGGACCAUUUUUUGGUUUGAGACUGUUCGGCUCAUUUUUGAACAGUGGGUGAAGGGCUGCCUGAUUUGUAUAUCUCUCAUCUCCCCAUAACAGGAAAGAAAAGCACAGUAUAAGGGCCACUUGUCCAGCAGGCUUAUUUACAGAGCCACUGUUGGCAGUAUCCAUUGACUGUCUUGAAAACCUAGAGUUGGCUAACAAUUGUUCUCUACUAUCAUCAAGCUGAGGAAUCCAGAGAUAUGGCUAGGGUUGAUCAAGAACAGUUCAGUUUUAUCCAGUUUCUCUGGGGGUGAUGAAGACCUCCUAACCAUAAAAGCACAUCAUCCUUAUGCAUAAGGGCUGAGGAUGGCUGGAGCCUAUCCCACAAGCUCAGGGUGUAAAGGAGGAACCACCUUGGACAGGAUGCCAUUCUAUCACAAGGCACGCGCGCACACACACACUCACUCAGAUUACGACAAUUUAAACAUGCCAACUCACAUAAUGUGCACAUCUUUGCAAUGUGGGAGGAAACUGGAGUAUCCAGAGAAAACCCACACAGACAAAGGGAAAAUGUGCAAACCUCACAUGGACAGUGGCUUCAGCCUGGAAUACAUUUUUUCUGACAUCGAUGUUAUAAUAAAACAAUAUUGAGUGAACUGAUGUUAUCCAAUGACCUGCUAUAUUCCCAAUAGAGGGCACAUUUCAAUGGACUGACCUUAGGAACUGGUAUGGGAGACACAUCAACUCUAAAAGAUCACAACCAAAUAUGCUGUACCACGCCAAGG